rnacentral:lncRNA from 1 species
GAAGAUUUGUGGAAGCUUCAUGUUUUCCUCUUUUAUUUAGAAAUACAGUAUAGACGAAGAACAGAUAAGCAAGCAAUCACUCCUACAGCAGGUAAGUACAGUUGCCAAUCUUGCAUCAGGGCCGCAAAGAGCAAUGGUACUUGAAUAAUAUUUCAGUUUUGUACAGGUCACAGAUCUCUCUUCCAAAUAAAUUCCAACUACAAAACUCCCCAAAGGUUUUGUGACCCUCCUCUCACUACUUGUGAGAGUCUUCUUCUAAAACAGGGAAGAUAGGCUUUGCAGCCAUAAAGGCACAUUAAGAUUCUUCAGUUAAUUUCAUGGUGUGCACUGCAGACUGCAGGAGGGAUCAGAGGUUCAGCCUUGGUAGAGCAAUUAACACUGGAAAAUCACAUACAAUUCACAUCUCACAUAUCAUAACACCUGUAUUCAAGCACUGCUUCGUCCACUUAGUUAAAGCUUGAACUGCCCAUUGAGCAAAUGACAGGUGAUGAUUGCUAACCAUUUGCAACCAAAACAGCUUGACAAAGGAUAGCCAGCCAAUAUCCAGAGCACCAUAUUGUAUUGUGACACCUUUUGCAUGGAACUGAGAGUGAAACUAUGGUAUUAGGCUGUCAACACUCUACUUUUUACCUUUUUCUGGUAAUGUCCUAUCUUGUAUUACACAAUGUGAUGCCAAUGCGAGUUUCCUCAUGCCACAAGAUUGGUUGUCAAUAGCAGAGAAGAGGAAAAGGCACUGUGAGAUAAUGUCACAUCCAGUAUUGUGUGAUAGAGGUCUGUAUCACCUGCACUUAAAAAACUGAGUUUCAUUUAGUGCUUCAAUACAAUUAAAUAAUUGUUAAUGGAAUACCUUAUGACUGAUCAAUCAGUGUGGAAAUUCCAUCAUUACUUACAUUUUUUGUGGAGGCUCCCCAGUGCAUUUUGGAAACCUGGAAAAGCAGGAGUCUAAAUUAUUUGGGAAGCAUUCAUGGAUUCAAAACGCUCCCCACUUCAUAUAGUCACUUUCCAUGACGUGAGGAAAAUAUAGCAAUGGAGAGGCAGACCUAGUGUGGCCAUCCACACUGCCCUCUGUAAAAUGCUUCAGUGCCCUUUUUGCGAGUCCUGAAAAGAGUUAUUGUCUCUCCUUCAACGUAGCCAGUGAGCUUGGAAAGAGAAGGUCAUCUUCCACUAACUACUUGGAAGAGAUGCCUGCUGUUCCUCUAAAUAGCAUCAGAAAAUAAAAAAUUUCUCCCUUUUACAUAAUUAGAGUCAUUCAAUGAAGCCAAAUGCUGGAAGACUCAGAACACACAAAAGGAACUUCUUCCGACAGUGAAUAAUUAAACUAUGGCAUUCGUUGCUGCAAGAUUUAGUGAAGGCCAACAACUUGGGUGACUAUGAGAGGCUUUAUGAAAUAUGCCAGAGGAAUAAAGUUGUCAAUUACUAUUAACCAUGAUGGCUGUGUACCAAUUUCAGCACUGCAGGUAGUAUAUCUCUGGGUACCAAGUGUUGGGCUUUACCAGUAGGCUUGGUGCUAUUGUGCUUAUGUCCUACUUGUGAGCUUCCCAAAGGCCACUGGUUGGCCACUAAGAGAACACAAUGAUAGAUAUGAUGGGCCUACAGCUUGAUCCAAAAGGACACUUCUUAUUUUCUUAGCUUCUGGGGGGUGGGGGUUGUGUACUGCUAGAUGCUCUGCAUCUAAUGAGGAGCUCUUUCCAGGCAAACUGGCAAGUAGAUUUGCAGGUGCUUGCCAUUAAAUAACUAACAUC